ensembl:lncRNA
CAUCUUUAUUAGCACUCUGUGGACAGCCACCACAAUUGAACAGCUAUUUCAGUUAUUAUUUCCUAAGCUGGAUUUCACUCUGCUUGCAUCUGUAUAUCUACAGUUUGUCCCUGGAUUGAGAAAUAUCUGCCAUCUGGAAAGGUGCUGCCUUCGGUGCUGGUGGAUGUCCCAGAAUGUAUAUCGACUCUGCAAGCACAGGACUUCCAUCCAAACCAAGGCAAACAGGUGGCAAGUGGGUUUGCCAUCGUUUGUUUAUUAUGGGAACAAACAAGACAACAAGCUUCUUGGCACGUGUGUGCAAAGUACAGAUCUCCGCCUUUUCUGACAGUUAUCUGGACUGAAGCCAGGACUGGGUGAAAAACAAAACGAAUGAAUCCAUGCCCCAAAACACAGGCAACUCCUCACAUAAGAGAUUUGGAUUUGUACAGAGAAGAAGAAAAACUAAAAGGAACUGGUAACAGACCGGGAAGGAUCUUUUAUUCUGUCUAGAAAAUCUACAUUCGAGACUUAAGAAGGGAAAGCAGCAGACACACUGCUUGGGCUUGUGUGCCAUCUGGCUUGACCCUGAUCCCUGACAACGGGAUGGCCACUGAGUGUGAAAAGUCAGACCGCUGUGAUCUACUUCAGCUUAAAAACUGCGCCUGAUUGAAGACAGCACAAGGAACAGUACAGGAGAGAGACCAAGCACACACGUGAACGUCACAUUCAUUUGUUCUGCAGUUCCAGAAACACGCUGAGAAGAAUGAAUCCCAGCAGUCCACGGUGUGAAGAAAAGAAAUGUGGAUAGUUGCUUGCGUGAGCUGGUGUCAUUCAGGAUGAACCAUAUGAGCAAGACAGCCCUUUGCGCACUAGAGCGUGAGAACAUACUACCAGUAAAAGAAAUCACACCCUGCUCCCCCAUGAAUACCUCUCUGGUUUCUAGCUUCAGUUCCCAAUGAAGAGGGGCACCGAGAGAACGGCCUGGUGGGAGCGAGCCUGUUAGCUGUGCCCAAGUCACCGCAGCAUCAGAAACCAUUCACAGACACUCAGCCACUCCACUGGAAAGAUACAGUGAAUUCAAGUAGCCUUGAGCUUUGCCCUAGUUGCGAUUGAAGCCAGUUCACUUUCAGGUGCCGCUGGACAAAACAGAACCGCGCUUCUCGUCCUCUGUCUCCGCUACAGUAAGAAAUAGAGGAAUGUCUAUGUCCUGUUAUCACCAGGAGCAACAGGUUAAUGGCCUGCAGACGCUUGGUUGCACUGAGUAAACCUACUAACACACAGAUAAGUCAACACACCCAUCUUCAAGCUGGGGAAGCUCUACUGCAUUCAAGAGAUGCUGCCAUGCAGAAAUUCAGCUGCAAAAGAAACGGGAAAAAAUACUCAGUGAUGUCAUUUGAACAUGCAAUGCUAAAUGGCCAAGCACAGAAGGAGUCUAUUUGCUCCUCUUUCUCCUCCCUCAAGAUUAUUAAGCUCGUGGCAUCAACAGGGGAUGAAGUCCCAAGCACAGAAAUGCAGGAGCAUCCUUUCUUUGUGCGCAGGAGCACUACCACAAAGCAGCCAUCACCACAUAAGAGCCACCACAGCACAUAGAUCCAGCGCUGCACCUCCCAGCCCAGGAUCAGGACCUUCAGACAACAGCUGCACCAGGACCCCAAACUCCAGCACUUCAUCAGUUCCAUUCCUCCAAGAGAGAACCUGCCACACACCUUCAGACCUGUAAAGAAAGCACAUCACCCUCAAACAAGGGGAUUUUGCCCAGUCCCAGCCAUAAACACCAUCUCAGGGUUGAAGGAUGCAGCUCACCUCACUCCAGCCCUGAACCUGCAGGAAGACCUGUGAACCACACAGAAGGCAGCCCUCUGCUAGCAGGGGACCCACUGGUGGGUCCCCAUCUCUCACCUCCUUCAUCCCAGCACUGGAAAAAAGCAGCUCACGUAUUCCAGCCAAUCCUCCCUGCAGCCUUCACCCUGCAACAAGAACACAGAGACAUACAAGAUGGAAACACCACACAUCACCCACAAAACCAUCCUGAGGCAACUGGAACAGGCCCCAGAAAAGGGGACUCCGCAACCUCUCCAGGCAGCCUAUUCCAUCCCUCUCACAGUGAAAUCAUUCUCCUGUUUGCAUACAACUUUCUAGUGUUACAGUCCACAAACACUGCCCCCAUACUACCACACACCACCUGUCCCCAUCAAUUGGGCUCCUGCACAUCAGAUAUUCACUAACAGUCACAGUAUUCCCAUCCUCUGCCCUUCUCUCAUCCCACUGGAGAAUCCAGACAACAUACAAAACCCCCAUUAGGCCCAGCACCACUUCCCAUCAGUGAAUUCACCUUGACCACUCCUUAGACAUUUCUUCUCUUCCAGUUGCUUGGAGAUGACAUCCAGAAGCAGUUGUUACAUUGCCAUUCCAGGAAGGGAGGUGAGGCUAACCAACCUACAGUUGCACAGCUGUAUGACAAACAGGUAUACAGGUAUUGGACCACAGAGAAUAACACAUUACAAAGGAGAAAUGAAAUAAAGAUCUUACCCAUGUCCUGGGCUUACAGAAGGGCUCCAAGAGGAUCUCCAGCCAGAGAUCCUUCCUCCUUGGGAGUCAGCCCUUAAAUGGCAUCUAGGAGGGAUGGAGCCAGGCUCCACCUCUUCCCCUCACUCAGGUGAAAUUGCAUUCACCUGUGCCCCUGCAGCUGACUCGGCACUCUCCUCAGGUGGAGGAAUCAAAGGUUCAGGCUGUGAUUCAACAGUUCCCAUACACACAGGCCAUCCUCCUCACCCUUUCCGAAGGCUGAGGUGACAUCAGCUAUCCUCCAGUCUUUGGGCACCUUUCCUAUAGGAAAGAACAGAGGAAACGUGACAGAGAGCUAUGUGGCAGUCACUUCUGCCAGCUCUCUCAGCACACACAGGCAUAUCCCUUUCCAGCUCAGGCAUUUGCGCUGGCACCCACUUUGCCUAAAUGACCUUUGACCAGCUCCUCCACAAUCAAGAGGAAGUCAUCCUUCCUCUAAAACUAUUUCCUCCAGAAUCCAGGGAUCCCAAGGAGCAGACUCAGCAGCGACCACUGAAACCAAAAAUACAUUCAGCACAUACUCUAUUACCAGGGCCUCCACCUUGUAAAGCAGAGGCCCGCUCUAGUCUCCUUUCUCCCAUUGACCAACUUCUAUUAGCCUUGACCUCCCUUCCCAAAGGUGAUACUGAGAGGGUCAUCGUCUUCCUUAGCCCAAGUCUUCCUUUUCCCCUUCAAGUUCAUCUUGAGUUCCUCAUUCAACCCUGCAGGUCUCCUGCCAGUAGAGAUACCACCCACAGUGAUGUCACCCACAUUUACCUGCCUCUUGAGCCUCACAUGCAAGCGCUCCGCUAGUUCUUCAUUCACCCCGAGGCAGAGCUCGAUACAUUUCCAUUCUCUCACUGGAAGAGAGACUCCACCACCUGGCCGGUCUGUCUUUCCUAAAAGGAACAAAGCCAUCCACAACAGCAUUCCGGUCAUGCAAGCUGCCCCACCAGGUCUCCACGGUAGGCACAAAACCGUGCUCCUGAAGUCCCACGUGAAGGAAGGGGGAGAAAAAAAGAAAACAAAUGUUCCCAUCCUGCUCGCUCCCACCGCUGGAAACGGGGGGGCUGGAGCACCAGUAGAACCCUCCUCGGGGGCUGAGGCCGCCCCGGGGCCGCGCUCGGUCUCGAGCCGUCGGGCAGCGGCCUCGUGCCGGCUCUUCUCUAAAAGGCCACGCGGGAGCCCAGAAGCGGCGCCGUGCCGAUCCCGAAGGUGCAGAGGUAGCCGAGCAACAGCCCUACAUAAACCCCGAGAAGAGAGAUCUUACCAGCUGACUCCCCAGCACUCACCGCUUCCACGAGCUCACCGGUUUGGAGCGAGGAGAGGCUCUGCCGGAACACUCGCUCAGCCUGCAAUAGGAGAAAACUUGGGUUUCAGCAGCACUUCGCGUUGCUUUUUACUACUCCCAGCAGCACCGAGGCUGCAGGAGUACAGCCCCAUCCCACCUGCUCCUACCGAUGAGAGCCUGAAGAACCGAAGCACCCGCUACAAACAACCCUAGGAAGAGGGAGGCUCAGAGCACCCCGGGGCUGCGGUAGGACUUAAGGACCUGAGCGGCAGCUCCCUCCGAAAACGCGAUAGGAGCCGGGCGGCGACGCUGUAUCGACAGCAAACAGCCGGGGAAGCCCGGCGGCAGCCCUACGCCGGCCCCGAGAAGAGCGGGGUCCGGGAGCCCGGCAGCCUCCCGCUCCAGCCGAAGAGAUCCUCGCGGCUCCCGAGCCCUCGCCGCCUGCACGGUCCCGCUACUACCAAAACGGCUCACACCGGUUUGGGCGGAUCCUUACCGCGAGAGGUCUCACAGCAGCCUGAAACAAAACGACACAACGAGAACAUUAAAGAGCCCCCCCCCCCAGAGCUCCAUUUUAAAAGCAGCCCCUGGUACCGCUUCCCAGCUCCAGCAGCGCUAAGAGCGGUCAAAGGAACCGGAGCCCCCUCCGUCUCUCGUGGAGAACCGCAAGAACGCCCCCGUGGCUGCCAGCAGCCUCCGGAGGAGCUUAAGAGGCUUUGGGGCGGGCCCCGCCCGGGGCUCCCGACGAGGCGCAGCUGUGCCCGG